CACUCAUCCAGAGCGGUGGAGGGACCGGCCCGUUGAAACCGCAGCAACCCUCGUAUGCGUCGCCGCAUACGAACGGUGCUAAGUCCGGCAGAGGUGUUCUGGAAGAUGAGCG
rnacentral:ncRNA from 17 species